rnacentral:rRNA from 1 species
UUUGAUCCUGGCUCAGGACGAACGCUGGCGGCGUGCUUAACACAUGCAAGUCGAACGAUGAAGCCUUUCGGGGUGGAUUAGUGGCGAACGGGUGAGUAACACGUGGGCAAUCUGCCCUUCACUCUGGGACAAGCCCUGGAAACGGGGUCUAAUACCGGAUAACACUCUGUCCCGCAUGGGACGGGGUUAAAAGCUCCGGCGGUGAAGGAUGAGCCCGCGGCCUAUCAGCUUGUUGGUGGGGUAAUGGCCUACCAAGGCGACGACGGGUAGCCGGCCUGAGAGGGCGACCGGCCACACUGGGACUGAGACACGGCCCAGACUCCUACGGGAGGCAGCAGUGGGGAAUAUUGCACAAUGGGCGAAAGCCUGAUGCAGCGACGCCGCGUGAGGGAUGACGGCCUUCGGGUUGUAAACCUCUUUCAGCAGGGAAGAAGCGAAAGUGACGGUACCUGCAGAAGAAGCGCCGGCUAACUACGUGCCAGCAGCCGCGGUAAUACGUAGGGCGCAAGCGUUGUCCGGAAUUAUUGGGCGUAAAGAGCUCGUAGGCGGCUUGUCACGUCGGAUGUGAAAGCCCGGGGCUUAACCCCGGGUCUGCAUUCGAUACGGGCUAGCUAGAGUGUGGUAGGGGAGAUCGGAAUUCCUGGUGUAGCGGUGAAAUGCGCAGAUAUCAGGAGGAACACCGGUGGCGAAGGCGGAUCUCUGGGCCAUUAC